rnacentral:rRNA from 1 species
GCAGAACGCGAAGAACCUUACCAAGGCUUGACAUAUACGAGAACGGGCCAGAAAUGGUCAACUCUUUGGACACUCGUAAACAGGUGGUGCAUGGUUGUCGUCAGCUCGUGUCGUGAGAUGUUGGGUUAAGUCCCGCAACGAGCGCAACCCUCGUUCUAUGUUGCCAGCACGUAAUGGUGGGAACUCAUGGGAUACUGCCGGGGUCGAACUCGGAGGAAGGUGGGGAUGGACGUCAAGUCAUCAUGCCCCUUAUCGUCUUGGGCUUUCGACGCAUGCUACAAUGGCCGGUACAAAGGGCUGCAAUACCGCAAGGUGAGCGAAUCCCAAAAAGCCGGUACCAGUUCGGAUUGAGGUCUGCAACUCGACCUCAUGAAGUCGGAGUCGCUAGUAAUCGCAGAUCAGCAACGCUGCGGUGAAUACGUUCCCGGGUCUU